rnacentral:rRNA from 1 species
AGUGAACGCUGGCGGCGUGCCUAAUACAUGCAAGUCGAACGGAGUGGCGCACGGGUGCGUAAUGUAUAGCUCAUCUGCCCUACACUAGAGGACAACAGUUCGAAACGACUGCUAAUACUCUAUAGUGUAGGAUGAGGCUAUAUUGUCUCAGCUAGUUGGUGAGGUAAUGGCUCACCAAGGCUAUGCAGCAUAACUGGUCUGAGAGGAUGAUCAGUCACACGGGAACGGAGACACGGUCGAGACUCCUACGGGAGGCAGCAGUAGGGAAUAGUGCUGAAGGGGGGAAACACUGAAGCAGCAACGCCGCGUGGAGGAUGACAAUUUUCGGAGCGUAGACUACUGUUGUUAGGGAAGCGGUACCUAACGAAUAAGCACCGGCUAACUCCGUGCCAGCCGCCGCGGUAAUAC